UCCUCUUCCUUUUCACUCUCCCUUCACCCACAUUGUCUUCCGAUGUCGUCUCCAGUUCUGGGAAUACCAAUGCAGAAAGCUCUGUCCGUGAUCUAUGCCGGUCCACCCCAUACCCCGCCGCCUGCCUCGACUCCCUGAAGCUGUCCGUUUCCAUCACCAUCAACCCCUCCGUCCUCUCCCUGGCGCUCCGCACCCUCCAGGCCGCCAUCUCGGAGGCGGCCAAGCUCUCCUCGGUCCUCUCCUCCGCCGGCCGCCCCGGCGCCGUGGUCGAGUCCCAGCGCAGCUCCCUCCAGGACUGCCAGGAGCUGCACCAGAUCACCGUCGCCUCGCUCCGGCGCUCGGCCGGCCUCGUCAAGCCCGAGGCCCGCAAGCUCGCCGACGCCCGGGCCUACCUCGCCGCCGCGCUCACCAACCGGGCCACCUGCCUUGAGGGCCUCGCCGGCGCCCGGGGCCCGCUCAAGGCCACGCUUGUCGACUCCUGGCUCGCCGCCUACGCCCACGUCAGCAACUCCCUCUCCCUCGUCGCCCGCUC
rnacentral:lncRNA from 1 species